AGCGCCCUCCACGCUGGAAACCAGCUGGAUCUGUGGCUGAACACACCGUGGUAAUGGGUUCAGACUCCUGCCCUAGGCUGUUUUCCUCCCGCAGGAGGAUGGUGUCUCCCCGUCCCCUCCACUGCCUACCUGACAGCUUCAAUCUUUCCAGUGUUAGUACAAAUGUCACUUCCCAACAACCAGGUGGAGUCUGCUGUGUGCACACUGCACUCUCUUGCCUGUUUGUUCCUUGAUUUGCGGGAGCCUGUGAUGGUGUCCUAAGAGCAAAAAUUCUGAAGGGUUUGGUAGAGGAAUCAACUGCGUUUUCAGGGAAGAGCCAGGACAUGCGUAUCAUUUUUAAUUUGACACGUACCGUCUGCUGUGUGAAAUAGCACUGAUGUUAGGUGGAGCCAUACGAAAUCUCUCAUUCUCAGCCACGUUUAACUGUUUCACAUGGCUCAGCCUAAAAUAUCAGAGUCAAUAAAUACUAGCAGUCCUGUGUUCAUGCGAGACCCGUGCAUUGGUAAUGUGGCAGUGUGACAGGGAAGUGUCAUCCUGGGCCUUGAAGAUUUAAAGUAGGCAGCAAAUGUGGGUCGGGGCCCUGCUGCCUUAAAGAAGAUAAAGGGCUGGGGCCACAGAGGACUUUCGACCUGCCGAGGGGUGAAGACCCUGCAGGUGAGUGGUCAGCAGGAACAGACCGUUUGGGGCAGGAAGGAUUCGAGAGUGCUGGUGAGGGAGCAUGGCGGAUCUUGGGGUCUUUAUGUGGAAGGUGAUGAGGGGGCCUGGGGCCAGGUAACCCCAAAGAGUCUGCUGCAGCCUGACCCGCUGGCAGUGCAGGGGGGUGGAAGAGCUCUGCCGCUGAGGGGGUUUGGGCGGGCCUGACAGAAAUGGAAGGGCUCUGUCUUCAGAGAUUUACACUAGACCUUGAAGGGGAUUCAUGCGCUGGCUUGGCUGAGGCAGGGGGCGUGCACAGUUCCAGAGACGUUUAGAGAAAGAAGAGUUAAGAAAGUGUUCAUAGUAUAUGAUAGUCUACGAUUUUAAAUGGGUUUGGGUGGAACUGUAGUUAGAUAAUGCAGUGUUGGUCUUAUUUCCCCUCUAAAAUCAUUUGUGUCAUCAUGUUCAUUCAUUUUCAGAACAUAAGUGCAUUCAUUCAUUCACCAAAGAUUUCAGAGUACAAGGGGCCAUUAAAAUGUACAGCACAUGUUUGCUUUUUUAAAAAAUCUAUUCCAGUGAAAGACGCAUUGUCAUUAAGCCCCCCGCAACAGUCCCCUCCUUGCUGCAGACACGCUCAGCCCAUCCCUCUCGCCACUUUCUGAAGCAGUUCUGGAAGUCAUCCUCCAUGGCUCUAUGGGGCAUGAUCAGAAGCACAGUGAACGCUGCUGCCACGUGCCAUCCGGUGGAAAGGCAGCUUACAGUGUCCUCAGCCACCCUUUCCACCGGAUCUGACCCUGUGUGACCUCUGGCUCUUCCCCAAAGUCAAAAUGACCAUGAAAGGUAAAUGUUUUGAGUAGAUUUAGGACCUCAAGGCAGCCAGCAGCACCACUGAAGCCAUGGAAGAGGACUCAGAACUGCCUCAGACGGUGGCCAGAAAGGUGUGCACCAGGCAGAUUCAGGAUGCGACAUUCGGAAAGAACCCGAAUGCUAAGCUGGUCUAAAAUCUGCCUGUCUUCCAUGAGAAGGUGGCUCAGAGCUCAGCAGGGGCCACACCAGAGCUGCAGUGUCAGCCAACUCUGCAUGUGCCUAGAUACACCAAGGUACACCACGGCUGGUCAAGAAAGCUCAGGCCCAGCCUGGGCAGCUUAGCAAUGCAGGAGGACCCUGGCUCCAAAGAACAUGAAUACAGAAGGGCCGAGGAUGUGGCUCAGUGUAAUGGCCCUGGCAGCCCCUUGUACUGGAAAGGAAAAAGAAGAAAAGACAUAAACUAGGGGCUAGGGAUUUAGCUCAGCGGCAUAAGCGCCUGCCUUUCAAGCAGGCAGUCGUGAGUUUGAUCCCUGGUACCGAUAAAAAGGAAAAAAAACAAAAAAAAAAAACAAAAAAAAGACAUAAGCUCAUUCAAAUCUCUUUAUUAAAUGAAAAAAAUUCAUUUGAGAUCUUUGCCUAUGAGAUCUAGACAAAGAAAGGUAUCAGCGAUCACCUCUGAUCCUGGGUUAUUUUAUCUGUAUUUUCCUAAGUUACCUGUAUAACAAAUAAUGAAAA